AGGCAAUCCAGACUGGGAGUUGCAGCUAUUCUUCACCUGAACCCUUCAUGGUCCAGGAUCCUGAAAGCCUAUGCUCCACACAGCAGUCAGACCUCGUUUCAGCAAGCAGAUUGCUCUAGUGCCUGUCCCAGAGCUUCCUAAACUGCAACAGAGCUGAACUGACCUCGGGACUUCCAAAAGCAUCUGUGAAAAUUGGCAGCUUGAAGAAAACUAUGAACUGUAACACCAGGGUGCAUGCAUCCAGAAUUGUACACUAGCAGAUUUUUGGAAAGACCUACUAUCUGUGUUCUGUUCAUGCUUGGAAAGAUCUCUUUGCAAACAAAUAUUAAGAGGUUCUUUUUCUGGGCCUGGGUUGUUGGGGAUUUUUAUCCCUUUCUUUUAAUCUAACUAAAAUGAAAGACUCAUUUUGCAUAAAG